rnacentral:rRNA from 1 species
AGUGAACGCUGGCGGUAGGCCUAACACAUGCAAGUCGAACGGCGGCACAGUAAGAGCUUGCUCUUACGGGUGGCGAGUGGCGGACGGGUGAGGAAUACAUCGGAAUCUACUUUUUCGUGGGGGAUAACGUAGGGAAACUUACGCUAAUACCGCAUACGACCUACGGGUGAAAGCAGGGGAUCUUCGGACCUUGCGCGAUUGAAUGAGCCGAUGUCGGAUUAGCUAGUUGGCGGGGUAAAGGCCCACCAAGGCGACGAUCCGUAGCUGGUCUGAGAGGAUGAUCAGCCACACUGGAACUGAGACACGGUCCAGACUCCUAAGGGAGGCAGCAGUGGGGAAUAUUGGACAAUGGGCGCAAGCCUGAUCCAGCCAUACCGCGUGGGUGAAGAAGGCCUUCGGGUUGUAAAGCCCUUUUGUUGGGAAAGAAAAGCAGCAGGUUAAUACCCCGCUGUUCUGACGGUACCCAAAGAAUAAGCACCGGCUAACUUCGUG